UAAAACUCCACAAUCUCCUGAAUUUGACGCAUCCUUGUCAUCGCUGAAAUUGCUGGAUCAAAUUUACAUCUUCACAACACUUUAUGAGUUCUUAAUCUUUACUGCCAAAAACCACUAUCAAUGGUCAUGGACCUUACUGGACUAGGUUCCUUCAAAGUUUCCCUUUUUCGUUUGUUGUUCCUUUCAACAUAUUUUCCUUUCCAGUUUGUUAUCCCCAUAGUAUUUUCUUCUGACACGGCUGCCUCACUCUAACUCUUGUUAGAAUUGGUACUAUACUUCACAAAUGACCUUUUUUAUUUCUCAACAAUUUCAGCGAAUGCCUUUUCCAUGGACUGUUGAGUUAUCAUAGAUUUUUAUAUUGAGGAACCGGGUUCUUGGGAAGCAUCUUUGUUUACUUGGUUUACUGGCCCACUCUUGAUGAAUCCUUUGGAUUUGUUCUUCUCUUUUUUCUUGGCUUGACACUCCUCUUACUUUUCUAAAAUGAUGACUUGGAGUAGUCUUGCUGUAGUGACCUUAUAGUAAGUGAUUUUGAGGAAGACCCAAAGAUCUUGGAGUGAAUGAGGGGUACAGGAGUGAGUUUUCAUUUAAGAGAAACGGUUUCAUCAUAUGUAUUUUCUGGGAAUAUCUCACAAGUCAAGGACUUUAGGAGUUCUGCAGUUCUUGCAUUUUCUAGAAUCGAGAUCUCUUCCCUUUGAUACAUAGAUGAGAGAUAAACUCCUUCAUUUGAUAGACCUUCAUUACCUAUGUCCAUGAUGUUGUGAGCUACUUCCUUUUCAGGUGACUUCUUGAGAGUCACUGAGUCCAACAUGGAGGAGUUUAUAUACUGGUCAGGAUCAUCCUCGGGAUCUUUUGGAGCUGAGGAGUGAAACCUUUUGUAUGUUCUUUGGUGAAAUCAUAGGAUUGACUGGACAUAGGGUUCUUAAAAUUGUAAACAGGCUUUAGCAUAAGAGGGAAGAUAGUAGGAGUGGAGAAGAGACCAUAAGUGUGAGAGUGCUAGAGUACAUGAAAUAGUGAUGACCUGGAAUUGAUUUUAAGGAAGGCGGCGAAAUGGGAGCAGUGCUAGAAGAGGUAGACUGAAAUGAUUGUUCGAUAGCCAUUAGAUGAGCACUUUGGAGACAAGUAACUAGAGAGAGCAAGAGAUGAAUAGUGGAUCCUAGCCAUACAACG
rnacentral:lncRNA from 1 species